rnacentral:tRNA from 1 species
UCCCUGCUGGUCCAGUGGCUAAGGUUCUGCACUCCUGACGCAGGGGGCCCGGGUUCGAUCCCUGGUCAGGGAA